rnacentral:rRNA from 1 species
AUUGAACGCUGGCGGCAUGCCUUACACAUGCCAGUCGAACGGCAGCGCGGGAGCAAUCCUGGCGGCGAGUGGCGAACGGGUGAGUAAUACAUCGGAACGUGCCCAAUCGUGGGGGAUAACGCAGCGAAAGCUGUGCUAAUACCGCAUACGAUCUACGGACGAAAGCAGGGGAUCGCAAGACCUUGCGCGAAUGGAGCGGCCGAUGGCAGAUUAGGUAGUUGGUGAGGUAAAGGCUCACCAAGCCUCCGAUCUGUAGCUGGUCUGAGAGGACGACCAGCCACACUGGAACUGAGACACGGCCCAGACUCCUACGGGAGGCAGCAGUGGGGAAUUUUGGACAAUGGGCGAAAGCCUGAUCCAGCCAUGCCGCGUGCAGGAUGAAGGCCUUCGGGUUGUAAACUGCUUUUGUACGGAACGAAACGGUGUUUUCUAAUAAAGAAGGCUAAUGACGGUACCGUAAGAAUAAGCACCGGCUAACUACGUG